UGCUGUNGGUGGGGACAACGUUUCGAAAGGAACGCUAAUACCGCAUACGUCCUACGGGAGAAAGCAGGGGACCUUCGGGCCUUGCGCUAUCAGAUGAGCCUAGGUCGGAUUAGCUAGUUGGUGAGGUAAUGGCUCACCAAGGCGACGAUCCGUAACUGGUCUGAGAGGAUGAUCAGUCACACUGGAACUGAGACACGGUCCAGACUCCUACGGGAGGCAGCAGGC
rnacentral:rRNA from 1 species